rnacentral:rRNA from 1 species
UGGGGAAUCUUGCACAAUGGGGGAAACCCUGAUGCAGCGACGCCGCGUGAGCGAUGAAGCCCUUCGGGGUGUAAAGCUCUUUCGGCGGGAACGAUAAUGACGGUACCCGCAGAAGAAGCUGCGGCUAACUACGUGCCAGCAGCCGCGGUAAUACGUAGGCAGCGAGCGUUGUUCGGAGUUACUGGGCGUAAAGAGUGUGUAGGCGGUUCGCUAAGUUUGGUGUGAAAUCUCCCGGCUUAACUGGGAGGGUGCGCCGAAGACUGGUGGGCUUGAGUGCGGGAUGGGAAAGCGGAAUUCCUGGUGUAGCGGUGAAAUGCGUAGAUAUCAGGAGGAACACCUGUGGUGUAGACGGCUUUCUGGACCGCCACUGACGCUGAGACACGAAAGCGUGGGUAGCAAACA